rnacentral:rRNA from 1 species
CUUUUCUUGCUAAUUCCGCCUAUAUACCGCCGUCGUCAGCUUACCCUGCAAAGGACAAGCAGUAAGCUCAAUUGGCACAGCCCAAAACGCCAGGUCGAGGUGUAGCGUAUGAAAAGGAAUGAAAUGGGCUACAUUCAAUCAAGCAAUGAAUACGAAUGAUGAACUUGAAACAGUCAUCUGAAGGAGGAUUUAGCAGUAAAAGGAAAGCAGAGUGUUCCUUUGAAGCAGGCUCUAAAGCGCGUACACACCGCCCGUCACUCUCCCCGAGAACAAUAACCCUGUAAAUAACCCUACAAAAUAAAUAAGGGGAGGCAAGUCGUAACAUGGUAAGUGUACCGGAAGGUGCACUUGGAAUAACUUU